rnacentral:lncRNA from 1 species
AAGAAAGAUGUUCAUAUUCAUAUUCAUAUUCAGAGAUAGACUAGCUAAGUAUAUCUAUUCCCCCCCCUGAAAGAAAGAAAGAAAGAAAGAAAGAAAGAAAGAAAGAAAGAAAGAAAGAAAGAAAGAAAGAAAGAAAGAAAGAAAGAAAGAGAGAGAGAAAGGAAGGAAGGAAGGAAGAAAAGAGGAGAAAGAAAGAAAGAAAGAAAGAAAGAAAGAAAGAAAGAAAGAAAGAAAGAAAGAAAGAAAGAAAGAAAGAAAGAAAGAAAGAAAGAAAGAAAGAAAGAAAGAAAGAAAGAAAGAAAGAAAGAAAGAAAGAAAGAAAGAAAGAAAGAAAGAAAGAAAGAAAGAAAGAAAGAAAGAAAGAAAGAAAGAAAGAGAGAAAGAAAGAAAGAGAGAAAGAGAGAAAGAAAGAAAGAGGAAGGAAGGAAGAGAAAGAAAGAAAGAAAGAAAGAAAGAAAGAAAGAAAGAAAGAAAGAAAGAAAGAAAGAAAGAAAGAAAGAAAGAAAGAAAGAAAGAAAGAAAGAAAGAAAGAAAGAAAGAAAGAAAGAAAGAAAGAAAGAAAGAAAGAAAGAAAGAAAGAAAGAAAGAAAGAAAGAAAGAAAAAGGAAGGAAGGAAGGAAGGAAGGAAGGAAGGAAGGAAGGAAGGAAGGAAGGAAGGAAGGAAGGAAGGAAGGAAGGAAGGAAGGAAGGAAGGAAGGAAGGGGGGGGAGGGAGGAAAGAAGGAAGAGAAUUUCUAACAGUUUAAGGCUCCCUCAAAACAUUAUUAUCAAAACCUUGAGGAAAUGAGC